rnacentral:lncRNA from 1 species
GUUGGCGUUUAAGUUAAGAUUUUUUUUAAUGUUUAUUUGAUUGAUUUGUAUGUCAGUUCAGAAGUAUGUUUGUGGUGUAUGUUUACAGUUUUUAUUUUUGGAUCCCAGUAAUUGUCACAUCCUCCCAUUUUUUCUGUAUGUAUUGCUCGUCUAAUUUGGUCAUUAUCACGGAUCUAUUAACAACUGUCAUACAAGUGGGAGGGUUAGCUAGAUAUACUUACAGGUUUAACCAACUAUAUUCUUUUAAAAUGCCUGGACAAAGUCAG